rfam:Postia placenta Mad-698-R POSPLscaffold_107_Cont4868, whole genome shotgun sequence.
UGCCCCGUGGCUUAGUUGGUUACGGCGUCCGACUGUUACUUCCUUGUGUUUCCAUUGGUAUUGUGCAUCGGAAGAUCGAGAGUUCAAGUCUCUCCGGGGCAG